AGUGAACGCUGGCGGUAGGCCUAACACAUGCAAGUCGAACGGCAGCACAGUAAGAGCUUGCUCUUACGGGUGGCGAGUGGCGGACGGGUGAGGAAUACAUCGGAAUCUACUUUUUCGUGGGGGAUAACGUAGGGAAACUUACGCUAAUACCGCAUACGACCUACGGGUGAAAGCAGGGGAUCUUCGGACCUUGCGCGAUUGAAUGAGCCGAUGUCGGAUUAGCUAGUUGGCGGGGUAAAGGCCCACCAAGGCGACGAUCCGUAGCUGGUCUGAGAGGAUGAUCAGCCACACUGGAACUGAGACACGGUCCAGACUCCUACGGGAGGCAGCAGUGGGGAAUAUUGGACAAUGGGCGCAAGCCUGAUCCAGCCAUACCGCGUGGGUGAGGAAGGCCUUCGGGUUGUAAAGCCCUUUUGUUGGGAAAGAAAAGCAGCAGGUUAAUACCCCGCUGUUCCGACGGUACCCAAAGAAUAAGCACCGGCUAACUUCGUG
rnacentral:rRNA from 1 species